GGUUGAGAGUGAUGCACCCUGGAAUUGGGCUCCCUCCUCUCUGGUUCUGGGGUGUGUCAUCCGAGAACUGCG
rfam:Myotis brandtii contig192584, whole genome shotgun sequence.